rnacentral:rRNA from 1 species
UGGGGAAUAUUGCGCAAUGGGGGGAACCCUGACGCAGCCAUGCCGCGUGAAUGAAGAAGGCCUUAGGGUUGUAAAGUUCUUUCGGUAUUGAGGAAGGUUGAUGUGUUAAUAGCACAUCAAAUUGACGUUAAAUACAGAAGAAGCACCGGCUAACUCCGUGCCAGCAGCCGCGGUAAUACGGAGGGUGCGAGCGUUAAUCGGAAUAACUGGGCGUAAAGGGCACGCAGGCGGUUAUUUAAGUGAGGUGUGAAAGCCCCGGGCUUAACCUGGGAAUUGCAUUUCAGACUGGGUAACUAGAGUACUUUAGGGAGGGGUAGAAUUCCACGUGUAGCGGUGAAAUGCGUAGAGAUGUGGAGGAAUACUGAAGGCGAAGGCAGCCCCUUGGGAAUGUACUGACGCUCAUGUGCGAAAGCGUGGGGAGCAAACAGGAUUAGAUACCCUGGUAGUCCACGCUGUAAACGCUGUCGAUUUGGGGGUUGGGGUUUAACUCUGGCGCCCGUAGCUAACGUGAUAAAUCGACCGCCUGGGGAGUACGGCCGCAAGGUUA